AUAUUUUUCUCGGUCUUUUGACUAAGAUCAAGUGUAGUAUAUGUUCUUAUCAGUUUAAUAUCUGAUAUGUGGAUCAAUGGUCCAUACAAUAUUAAAUUACUUUUUUAGGGAUGCAUGGGCCGAAGCAUACCACCA
rnacentral:snRNA from 2 species